GAUGAACGCUGGCGGCAUGCCUAAUACAUGCAAGUCGAACGAGAGGAAGGAAAGCUUGCUUUUCUGAAUCUAGUGGCGAACGGGUGAGUAACACGUAGGUAACCUGCCCAUGUGCCCGGGAUAACUUCUGGAAACGGAUGCUAAAACCGGAUAGGUAGCAGACAAGCAUUUGACUGCUAUUAAAGUGGCUAAGGCCAUGAACAUGGAUGGACCUGCGGUGCAUUAGCUAGUUGGUGAGGUAACGGCCCACCAAGGCGACGAUGCAUAGCCGGCCUGAGAGGGCGGACGGCCACAUUGGGACUGAGACACGGCCCAAACUCCUACGGGAGGCAGCAGUAGGGAAUUUUCGUCAAUGGGGGGAACCCUGAACGAGCAAUGCCGCGUGAGUGAAGAAGGUCUUCGGAUCGUAAAGCUCUGUUGUAAGAGAAAAACGACAUUCAUAGGGAAUGAUGAGUGAGUGAUGGUAUC
rnacentral:rRNA from 1 species